rnacentral:rRNA from 1 species
UACGUAGGGUGCAAGCGUUGUCCGGAAUUAUUGGGCGUAAAGCGCGCGCAGGCGGUUUCUUAAGUCUGAUGUGAAAGCCCACGGCUCAACCGUGGAGGGUCAUUGGAAACUGGGGAACUUGAGUGCAGAAGAGAAGAGCGGAAUUCCACGUGUAGCGGUGAAAUGCGUAGAGAUGUGGAGGAACACCAGUGGCGAAGGCGGCUCUUUGGUCUGUAACUGACGCUGAGGCGCGAAGGCGUGGGGAGCAAACAGG